ACAUGCUCUGAUUCGCAGUUUAAAAAGCUCCCUUUAGCUGGAGCAUAAAUCCCAAAACAGAGCCACUUUCUCCUCAGCAUGUUUGGAAACAUUAAAAUAGACCCACAAUCAAGCAACCCGAUCCUUACAUUUUUCUCCUCGUGAGUCUCUGGGAAACAGGUGCAGACAUGGCUCAUUUGAGACACCAUAGAAAUCUGGUUAAUCCUGCCUGCCCGCUCUCCCU
rfam:Oryctolagus cuniculus cont2.76531, whole genome shotgun sequence.